CCAAUCAGAUUGAAGCUGAUGAAACAGGCCCAGGAAACAGCUCUAGUUUUGGGGAGAUUUGUUUUCUUGGAGAAGGAUUUCCCUCCAAAUGUUUCUUCCAGCCUGAGCAAAGCAACAAUGAUUGGACUGAUAGUGCUGGUCCUUCUGUGUGGAGAGGUGUCUGCAGGCUCUCACACUCUCCGGUAUUUCCUCACCGGCGUGACUCCGAUUCCUGGUAUUCCGGAGUUUGUAGCUGUUGGUUAUGUGGAUGGCGUUCAGUUUGUUAUGUACGACAGCGAUGGGAAUGCGUUGAUCCCCCGGGAGCAGUGGAUGGUGGAGAGUGAGGGGCGUGAGGCCUGGGAGCGGAAGACGAUGCUGGCUCAGGAGCAGGAGCAGCAUAUCAAAAAGUAUCUUCCGAUCCUCAUGGCCCGGACCAACCAGUCGGGAGGAAUCCACACACACCAGAUGUUGAUCGGCUGUGACCUGAACGAUGAUGGAACCAGGAGGGGGAUCCACCAGAGGGGAUGGGACGGAGGAGAUUUUAUCAGCUUUGACCCGCAGCACAUGGUGUGGGUGACACCGGUCCCAUGGGGAGAGAACUUCAAAACCACCUGGGACCAGUUCAAGUUUGACAAACAGCGAUGGAAACAUUACCUGGAGGUGGAAUGUAUCGAAUGGCUGAGGAAAUACCUGGAGUAUGGACAGAGAGAACUGAGGGUCGUUGCCCCCGUCGUGUCCUUUACCCGUCUGGGUGAUUCUAACCGGCUGUCCUGUGUCGUCACCGGGUUUUACCCUCAAGCCAUCGAGGUGACUCUGUGGAGAGACGGAGUGUUGAUCGAGGAGACCCUGUCCACUGGGAUCUUACCCAAUCACGACAGGACCUACCAGAUCCGGAAAUGGAUGGAGUUUGAUCCGGAGGAUCAGGCUGAGUAUUCCUGUCGGGUGGAACACAGCGGGCUGGAGGAGGAGAAGGUGGUGAUUUACGAACCAAAGUCUCAGUCCCAGGUUCCUGUUCCGGUUGGGAUUAUCCUCGGGAUCAUCGGGAUCAUCGCUCUCACCGUUGUGGCUGUUGUUGUCUAUAAGAGGAAAGUGAGAGGGAAGAGCGGCUACAAUCCUACACAGAGCUGAUCAUCAAACAUCCUCUGGAUCUCUUCUGGUACAGGGGAUUCCUCGCCCAGUUUCUGAGUGUCCUCCCAGGUCCUGACCAUUAAUCCAGGGAUAUCAGUUCCCGAGAUCAGUGGGAGGAGUGGAUGAAUGAAUCCUGGAAGAUGUGAUUUCCUCGAGAUUGUAUCGAGUGAAUCGUGGUGGCUCUACAUUGUUACUGUGUAAAUAAAACUGUAAAUGUCUGCA